GCGCAUUUAUUAGAACAAAACCACGCGGCUUCGGCUGCUUCUUGUUGACUCAGAAUAACUUAGCUGACCGCAUGGCCUUGUGCCGGCGGCGUGUCUUUCAAGCGUCCACUUUAUCAACUUGACGGGAGCAUAAUCGACUCCCGUGGUGGUGACGGAUAACGGAGGAUCAGGGUUCGACUCCGGAGAAGGGGCCUGAGAAAUGGCCACUACGUCUAAGGAUGGCAGCAGGCGCGCAAAUUACCCACUCUCGGCUCGAGGAGGUAGUGACGAGAAAUAACGAGACUGUUCUCUUUGAGGCCGGUCAUCGGAUUGGGUACAAUUUAAACCCUUUAACGAGUAUCAAGCAGAGGGCAAGUCUGGUGCCAGCAGCCGCGGUAAUUCCAGCUCUGCAAAUACAUAGAAUUAUUGCUGCGGUUAGAAAGCUCAUAGUUGGAUUCGUAUCGAUACCUUGGAACCCUUCGGGUGUCUCUAGGUGUUAUCGAUUUAUCGUAAUGUUCGGUUUUGAGUCCUUAACAGGAUUCUUAACAGGCAUUGCAAGUUUACUUUGAACAAAUCAGAGUGCUUCAAACAGGCGUUUUCGCUUGAAUGAUCGUGCAUGGAAUAAUAGAAAAUGAUUUCGGUUCAGUUUUAUUGGUUUUACGGACUGAGAUAAUGGUUAACAGAGACAAACGGGGGCAUUUGUAUGGUCCCGUGAGAGGUGUUUGUAUGGUCCCGUGAGAGGUUGAU
rnacentral:rRNA from 1 species